rnacentral:misc_RNA from 1 species
GAAUCCUUGGAACACAUAGAUGAGAUUGGCAUAUUUUUAUCACAUGCUAGUUCCGUGCAAAAAGUAUUGGACACCCACAAGUUGCGAAGAUGCGUAAAACAGCUGCAACUAGCACAGUGCACAGAUCGUCUACCAAAACUCUCUCUAAGAGGAAUGGAGCAUUUGGAGAGGCUUGAAUUAUUGAAGUGCUCGUCCCUGACAGAGCUUGAAAUUUUCAAAGAAAAUAAUCAGCAAGAGCAUCAGGGUUCUGAGAUCACAGUUUUCCCUGGCCACAUCUAUAGGAAAAGGCAGCAAUCUUUUCCCAACCUCUGUAUUGUGAGGAUCCGCAACUGUCCAAUAAAGAACGUGACGUGCCUC